AGGGAUUAGGGGACUACUGAGGCUCUGGAGAUGAGACCGCCAGGAGUCCUUCCCCACCAUGAGCCCCCUCCACUCCUGCAGCUGGAGGAGUUUUUCCCAGUCUCAGUGCUGCCCUGGGGCGAGAGAGACUGAACAAGCUGUUUGGGUGGGAAGAGAAUGGAGGAAGUUGACAGGGAUGGGCGGGGCCCGUGGGGGGGCUGACCAGGAACCCAGCUUCCUGCUCAGUACCCAGGCAUCCAGCCCCCAGCUCACCCCCACCCCUUCCAGCCCCCACUCCCCUCAGGAACCCAAGGUUCCAGCCCUCCUCCCAAAUCCCAGCCACCCCUCCCCCACCAGUUUCUCCCCUCUAGGGGAUGGAGGCUGAGAGACCCCAGGAAGAAGAGGAUGACUGAACUCCUUCUGGACCUGGUGGCUGAAGCCCAGUCCCGCCGCCUGGAGGAGCAGAGGGCCACCUUCUACACCCCCCAAAACCCCUCAAGCCUAGCCCCUGCCCCACUCCGUCCUCUCGAGGACAGAGAACAGCUUUACAGCACUAUCCUCAGUCACCAGUGCCAGCGGAUGGAAGCCCAGCGGUCAGAGCCUCCCCUCCCUCCAGGGGGGCAAGAGCUCCUGGAGUUGCUGCUGAGAGUUCAGGGUGGGGGUCGAAUGGAGGAGCAAAGGUCCCGGCCCCCCACACACACCUGCUGAGACUUGAGCCCCAACCAGCCCUUCCUUGCCACUGGUCUCAAAGCUGGGCAGCCCAUUGCAUGCCCUCAACUCUUGCUUGGCAGGGGUACCAGAGACUGAAAGACACGGCACAAAUCUCAAUAUUCAUCUCCCACAUCACCUUCCCUGGGAACUGGACAGGGUGAAAGUCCUCAAACUCUGGGAACAGGCGAGAUGGAACAGGGAUUUAACUCCCCGCCCACAGGUCCAUGGGAGCUUGAGGCAGUAAGGGGGAUCCCAGGCACCCAUCUCAAGGAGUGGCUGGGAGUCUUUUCCCUAACUUGUGGGGACACCACCAGUUGUCAAGCUACUAGGCAGUAGGGUCUGAGGGCUCAGGCCUCCACCUGAGAGGUUAUAACCUGAGAGACAGCUCUACCCUUCCUCCCAGUAAGAAGGGAAGGUGGGUGGGCACCUGAGAGAUUAAGACUAUUCUCCCAGUCCCACUACCAGCACCCCCGAUCCCUGAGACUGAGGGGUUUACGGGCUGUGAAUGGACCUUCAGCCCUG
rnacentral:lncRNA from 1 species